UUGUACAAGAAGUCUGCAUAGUUUGACUUGCCUUGCCUAGUUCCUGAAGCUCAACAGAGAAGUAGAAGCCAAGCAGGGCAAAGCUUUGCAGAGUUUGAUAUGCUCAAAAUUCUUCAUUCAGUUCCAGUUUAGAAAAGGAAAGAUUUAGAGGACUAAAGCAGAUCUUUGACCUGUUACACGUGCUGCUCCCCAAAGGUGAAAACUCAUGUGGUGCCUGGUACUGCAGCUUUGUUAGGACUCUUAAUUAUGAUUGUGCAAGAUGAUAUGUCGUGUUUUAGAGCAAGAGGUGGCUAGCUGUGAUUUUCCCUUCUCCCGUGGCUUUUGCAAGUGCUUGACUUUAGCAGAAGGAUCAGUCCUGAGUGAAUGAAGGAACCUGAUGGCAGCUCUGGAGAAGAAAGGUGCUGUCGGGACUAUAUGCUGAUUGUCUCAAAGUAGCCCUCCCUGUGGCAGCUGCCUAAUGCCACGAAGAGCACGAAAUACACUCCAGAGAGCUGCAGCAUUGACUGGGCCAUAGAUGUUCACCAAAUCGAAGUCUUGGCUCUAAUCACAAACUCAUUUCCACAGCCUCUGUUUACGGUCUCAAAAAAAAUAGAAUAGUUCUUCCAUACCACAGAGUAAACACAAGGUAGCAGUGGCACCAUAUCUUUAUGGGAUGACCCCUCUCUCUGGAGUAGGAAGCCACGAGGCGGCACUGAAGCAUCACUCCCCUGGGGGAGCUGCCAAAGUGCAGACAAAUGAUCAAUAAUGGAUUUUGUAGCAAUAACUGCAGGCUGAUUAUUCUUGCCAGCUGAGAUGCCUUGGGGGUGUUUGAGACAUCAAUACUAGCAGUUGUGUCACACAGCAUCUUCAGAAGACACAUGACCUUCUGGAACAACAGCUGAAGACCAGAAUCACCAAGCUGGAAAAGACCUCUUGGAUCAUCCAUUGUACAGAAGAAAAAAACCCAAACAAACAAAUAAAUGUCUCCAAAUACAUGCUGAAAUGUAGAACACUGGAUAGUAAUAACCAUUUUAAUGACAGAUGGAACAGUUGGUGGAUAAAGAAUGAGCUGUAUCAUCGUACCCAAAGAGCUGUGGUUAAUGGCUCAGUGUCCAAGUGGAGACCAAUGACAAGUGACUUUUCAUAUUGGGAGCAGAGUUAACAUCUUUGUCACAGACACGGACACGGACAGUGGGAUUGAUGGCACUCUCAGCAAAUUUUCUGAUGACAUCAAGCUGUGUGCUAUGGUUGACACGGUGAAGGGAAGGGAUGCCAGCCAGAGGGACUUUGCGAACCUCAUGAAGGUCAACAAGGCCAAGUGGAAGGUCCUGCACAUGGGUUGGGGCAAUCCCAAGCACAAUUACAGGCUGGGUGGUGAAUGGAUUGAGAGUAGCCUUGAAGAGAAGGACUUGAGGGUGCUCAUGGAUGAGAACCUUGACAAGAGCCAGCAAUGUGUUCUUGCUGCUCAGAAAGUCAACCAUAUCCUGGGCUGCAUCAAAAGAAGUGUGACCAGCAGGUUGAGGGAGGUGAUUCUGCCCCUCUACUCUGCUCUGAUGAGACCUCACCUGGAGUACUGCAUUCAGUUCUGGAGUCCUCAGCACAGGGAGGAUAUGGUUCUGUUAGAGCAAGCCCAGAGGACGGCCAAGAAGACGAUCAGAUGGCUUGAGCAUCUUCCAUACAAGGCGAGGCUGAGAGAGUUCGGAUCGUUCAAUCUAGAAAAGAGAAUGUUCUCGGAAGACCUUACAGCAGCCUUCCAGUAAUUAUAGAGGGCCUAGAGGAAAGAUGGGGAGAGGCUGUUUAUCAGGGUGUGUAGUGAUAGGACAAGGGGUAAUGGUUUUAAGCUGAGAGAGGGUAGAUUUAGAUUAGAUAUUAGGAAGAAAUUUUUUCCUCUGAGAGUAGUGAGGCACAGGAAUAGGUUGCCCAGACAGGUAAUGGAUGCCUCAUCCCCUGAAGCGUUCAAGGCCAGGUUGGAUGAGGCUGUGAGCAACCUGAUCUAGCAGAAAUUGUCACUGCCUGUGACAAAGGGAUUGGAACUAGAUGAUCUUUAACAUCCCUUCAAGCCCAAAUCAUUCUAUGAUUCCAUGAUUCUAUGAAACAUGCAAUUUAUCAGUCCCCAUUCUAGUUCCAACAUUCACUUCUUGCGCUUGGCUAAGACAUUCAUGAGGCUUCCAGCUGCUGUCACCCAACUGCCACUUCCUCCACAGGAGAGUGUGCUGAGCCUCUUAAAGGAUUCAUAUCCCUCUGGGCAGUUGUAAAGUCAAUAACAUUCACUGCAAAGGAAGGAAAUCUGUAAGGAUUCCUGAGGUUUGAGGUGAAGUUCUCCUAGGAAUGCAAGUGAUAACUUCUUAUACAAUGAUGAACUUUGCUGUGACCCAGGGAACAGCCCUCCUACAACUCCUCUCUGGGGGAAAAGUGGGCACGUCUGGCAGCUUUCUCAUAUUCCAGUGUCCACAUAUAAAAGCUUUGGGUACCAAACAAUAGCAAUAAAGAAAUUAUAAAAACAGGCCAAGAGACAUAUGGCAAACAUGAGUGUGAUAACUGCACAGAAAAACUUAGCACGUUGUUUACACCACUCUUGUCACGAGAAGACUGCUCAGUAUUACAAGGCUGACCUAGUUUAGAGUUUGACAUUCUUGUAACAUGCUCCAGGGCAGGUACUUUUUUAAGCAAGAUAUUUCUGGUAUGCCAAAGUUCAUCUGCAACAUACUGUCUGCCAGUACUAAUAUUUCUUUUAAAAAGGUAUUUGAAGGACAGGUUGUAUGUGCUGUUUAAACAGCACAUGUGAAGGAAAAUAUCUGCUUGGUUGAGGUAGAGGGAUUGUAUACCCACAUAUAGAACUAAAGUUACAGUACUGGAGGAAUUUAUUAGUUCAGCUUUUAUAUAACAUCAGCUUUCUUCUUCCUUUGGCGUAACUGAAUUAGGUAACUAAAAAGGAAUUAAAGGUGUUUCUCAAAUGUUUGUCCUUAGAAAACAUUGAUUUCCAGUUACUUCAAUUGAAAUCAGCAUCCGUAAA